rnacentral:rRNA from 1 species
CAAUAGCGUAUAUUAAAGUUGUUGCGGUUAAAAAGCUCGUAGUUGGAUUUCUGCCGAGGACGACCGGUCCGCCCUCUGGGUGAGUAUCUGGCUCGGCCUGGGCAUCUUCUUGGAGAACGUAGCUGCACUUGACUGUGUGGUGCGGUAUCCAGGACUUUUACUUUGAGGAAAUUAGAGUGUUUCAAGCAGGCUUACGCCUUGAAUACAUUAGCAUGGAAUAAUAAGAUAGGACCUCGGUUCUAUUUUGUUGGUUUCUAGAGCUGAGGUAAUGAUUAAUAGGGAUAGUUGGGGGCAUUCGUAUUUAACGGUCAGAGGUGAAAUUCUUGGAUUUGUUAAAGACGGACUACUGCGAAAGCAUUUGCCAAGGAUGUUUNCAUUG